AGCUACUAAGAGCGAAUGGUGGAUGCCUUGACUGGUAAAGGCGAUGAAGGACGUACUAGACUGCGAUAAGCUACGGGGAGCUGUCAAGAAGCUUUGAUCCGUAGAUUUCCGAAUGGGGCAACCCAAUGUAUAGAGAUAUACAUUACCUAUAUAGGAGCGAACGAGGGGAAUUGAAACAUCUUAGUACCCUCAGGAAAAGAAAUCAAUAGAGAUUGCGUCAGUAGCGGCGAGCGAAAGCGCAAGAGGGCAAACCCAGUGCUUGCACUGGGGGUUGUAGGACUGCAAUGUGCAAGAGGUGAGUUUAGCAGAACAUUCUGGAAAGUAUAGCCAUAGAGGGUGAUAGUCCCGUAUGCGAAAAACAAACCUUAGCUAGCAGUAUCCUGAGUAGGGCGGGACACGAGGAAUCCUGUCUGAAUCCGGGUCGACCACGAUCCAACCCUAAAUACUAAUACCAGAUCGAUAGUGCACAAGUACCGUGAGGGAAAGGUGAAAAGAACUGAGGUGAUCAGAGUGAAAUAGAACCUGAAACCAUUUGCUUACAAUCAUUCAGAGCCCUAUGUAGCAAUACAGGGUGAUGGACUGCCUUUUGCAUAAUGAGCCUGCGAGUUGUGGUGUCUGGCAAGGUUAAGCAAACGCGAAGCCGUAGCGAAAGCGAGUCUGAAUAGGGCGCUUAGUCAGAUGCUGCAGACCCGAAACGAAGUGAUCUAUCCAUGAGCAAGUUGAAGCUAGUGUAAGAACUAGUGGAGGACUGAACCCAUAGGCGUUGAAAAGCCCCGGGAUGACUUGUGGAUAGGGGUGAAAGGCCAAUCAAACUUCGUGAUAGCUGGUUCUCUCCGAAAUAUAUUUAGGUAUAGCGUUGUGUCGUAAUAUAAGGGGGUAGAGCACUGAAUGGGCUAGGGCAUACACCAAUGUACCAAACCCUAUCAAACUCCGAAUACCUUAUAUGUAAUCACAGCAGUCAGGCGGCGAGUGAUAAAAUCCGUCGUCAAGAGGGAAACAACCCAGACUACCAGCUAAGGUCCCUAAAUCUUACUUAAGUGGAAAACGAUGUGAAGUUACUUAAACAACCAGGAGGUUGGCUUAGAAGCAGCCAUCCUUUAAAGAAAGCGUAAUAGCUCACUGGUCUAGUGAUUUUGCGCGGAAAAUAUAACGGGGCUAAAGUAAGUACCGAAGCUGUAGACUU
rnacentral:rRNA from 1 species